rnacentral:rRNA from 1 species
GACGAACGCUGGCGGCGUGCUUAACACAUGCAAGUCGAACGGUAAGGCCCUUCGGGGUACACGAGUGGCGAACGGGUGAGUAACACGUGGGUGAUCUGCCCUGCACUUCGGGAUAAGCCUGGGAAACUGGGUCUAAUACCGGAUAGGACCACUGCCUGCAUGGGUGGUGGUGGAAAGCUUUUGCGGUGUGGGAUGGGCCCGCGGCCUAUCAGCUUGUUGGUGGGGUGAUGGCCUACCAAGGCGACGACGGGCAGCCGGCCUGGGAGGGUGACCGGCCACACUGGGACUGAGAUACGGCCCAGACUCCUACGGGAGGCAGCAGUGGGGAAUAUUGCACAAUGGGCGCAAGCCUGAUGCAGCGACGCCGCGUGAGGGAUGACGGCCUUCGGGUUGUAAACCUCUUUCAGCACCGACGAAGCGCAAGUGACGGUAGGUGCAGAAGAAGGACCGGCCAACUACGUGCCAGCCGCCGCCGUAAGAC